rnacentral:lncRNA from 1 species
UGCCAUCGAAAUAUUUCUAUAAAAUGCUUCUUCCCCUUCCGUUUGGAUCCCUCCAUGUUUACAAACACGUUUAUUUAUUUUAUGGACUGUAGUUGGAUGGCUUUCUUAUAUCCUGAAAAACACGUGCAAGGAUCGCAAACUUGAACGCUAUUGAUUUUCCUCAUAGGCACUCCAUACUCUCUCUUGGUUACAGACCUAUAAAUAAUUUCAGAUUUACUGUAAGACAGUUUGAGUCGCUGUGACAAUCCUACCUGACUUAUAUUGUUUUGCAAUGUAUAAACUUAAUUACACACAGUCAUCAUUUCUUUUUAGUUUCUGCCAUUUUAUUUUUGUCGUUGAAUGACAUUAGUGUCUAUCCUGUUUGAUGUAACUGAGGUUUUCUAAAUAAAAACCAGACAACAGCUUUAAAUAUCAAUUAUUCCACAAUUAAAGACCAUGUUUUAUAAAUUCUCUGAUAUUUUAUUUAUUUUUUUAAUAGAAAAAGUUGUACCCGUGCAAUCAUUUUUGACCAUUCAGCAGACUAAACACACAUUAAUAAGUUCCUUCGUGCCAAACAUUUGUAAUUAUAGGUCUGUAACCCACUGACACCGCAAAAAAAGUUGAACACAGUUUUAUAAAACGUUAUUUCAAACACAAAACAUGUGCGAGCGUAUAGAACACCGGUAUAUCAAUUCAGUAUAAUACAAGAAAGGACACAUUUGUACGCUCGGUUUAUCAGUAUGUACUGUGUGAGGAAGGAACUGGGGGUAUAGAUAGCAGCAACAAACACCCACCUGCUAAAAGAAACUGAGAGUAAUACAUUUUUCUCUACAGGUCAAAUACUUAUUAAGAUACGCGCGGUGCAAAUGUUUAUGUCAUUAAUGCAUAUUUUUGACCAACUCAAGGGCCAUUAUUUCACCGGAAACCCCCAGGUGCUAAAAUGCUGAAUAACGAUCCUGUACUAGGUCAAAUGCUUUUUGAGACAUGCACGACACAGUCAGGACAGACGAACGUAAAUCCGGACAGACAAGUGUGCGGACAAAGGCUUAAAGGAAAAUCUAAGUGCCCUCAUCUCCCGAAAAAAGGUUUUGACUUGAACCCAGCAUAAUUCAGUGUUGAACUGUCGAUCAUUAUACAGCCUAAACUAUGGAAUCAGUGUUAAACUAUAGACCACUACAUAGCCUUAACUAUGUAACGGCGAUUUAUUUAAAGGUGUCAUUUUAAAUUUGACAUUUUCACUGUUAAAGCAAACUAUUAUGAAACUUUUCUAUUUGUAUUCUGAUGAUCAUUCCACCUCCACCCUACGGUUUACAUGAAGUAGACAUGGUCGGCGACGUGAUCAUGAGAACUGGUAAACUCAUUUUUGCCGAGUUUGUUUUUUUAAGUGAGAAUCACACAGAGUCCGGUUGUUUAUUGAUAAAGCAAACCUCAAACACCUCUCCGUGCGUUACAAUACACCAUGGUUACGAACAGUGGGAUGAAAGGCCUUUCGCAUUGAGCCAGCUGAAUAGUUUUUUUUUGACAUGAAGGGUCGACCUUACAGAGGUCAGGGACAAGUGAUUGUAAGUCAGCGACCUUAACUACUGCGUCAAGGAGGCCGCUGUUGUGAGUGGAACCAUGGAUAAGAUACUUAAAUUAACUCGAAGGUUGAAGAACAAAACAAUGAGUAUACUAGUAGUGUUAACGUUAAAGUACAACUGUUUACAAAUUAAUAAAUAAAGUGUCAUUGUU